rnacentral:rRNA from 1 species
AACGGCCGCGGUAUCCUAACCGUGCAAAGGUAGCAUAAUCACUUGCCUAUUAAUUGUAGGCUAGAAUGAAUGGGUUAACGAAAUAAAGACUGUCUCAAUUAAUCACCUAAAAAUUACUAUCUAUCUGAAGAAGAGUAGAUAAUCUCGAAGGACAAGAAGACCCUAUAGAGCUUAAUUUUAAUUAUAGAGCUACACUAUAAAAAUAUUAGGUUGGGGCGACCCAGGGCUAAUCAAUCACCCACUACAUAAAAGAUAAAUUAAUCAAGUAAUUGACCCCUAAAAGAUCAUAAGAACAAGCUACCUUAGGGAUAACAGGCUAAUCCCACUCAAGAGUCCUUAUCAACAGUGGGGUUUGGCACCUCGAUGUUGGCUUAGG